rnacentral:rRNA from 1 species
AUUGAACGCUGGCGGCAGGCCUAACACAUGCAAGUCGAACGAGUGGCGGACGGGUGAGUAAUGUCUGGGAAACUGCCUGAUGGAGGGGGUUAACUACUGGAAACGGUAGCUAAUACCGCAUACCUCCAGAUGUGCCCAGAUGGGUUUAGCUAGUCGGUGGGGUAACGGCUCACCUGGGCGACGAUCCCUAGCUGGUCUGAGAGGAUGACCAACAACACUGAAAAUGAGAAACGGUCCAGACUCCUACGAGAGGCAGCAGUGGGAAAUAUUGCACAAUGGGCGCAAGCAUGAUGCAGCCAUGCCGCGUGUAUGAAGAAGGCCUUAGGGUUGUAAAGUACUUUCAGCGGGGAGGCGUUACCCGCAGAAGAAGCACCGGCUAACUCCGUGCCAGCAGCCGCGGUAAUUC